rnacentral:rRNA from 1 species
CGUAGGAGACGAGCGUUAUCCGGAUUUACUGGGCGUAAAGCGUGUGCAGGCGGUUCGGCAAGUUGGAUGUGAAAUCUCCCGGCUCAACUGGGAGGGGUCGUUCAAAACUACCGAACUUGAGGUCAUCAGAGGAAGGUGGAAUUCCGGGUGUAGUGGUGAAAUGCGUAGUUAUCCGGAGGAACACCAGUGGCGAAGGCGGCCUUCUGGGAUGAUCCUGACGCUCAGACACGAAAGCUAGGGGAGCGAACGGGAUUAGAGACCCCGGUAGUCCUAGCUGUAAACGAUGUAGACUUGGCGUCGGAGGGUUCAAAACCUUCGGUGUCGUAGCUAACGCGAUAAGUCUACCGCCUGGGGACUACGGCCGCAAGGUUA